CACGGGGGGAGCAAGCGUUGUUCGGAAUCACUGGGCGUAAAGGGCGUGUAGGCGGUCAGGUAAGUGGGAUGUGAAAUGCCCCGGCUCACCCGGGGACCGGCAUCCCAAACUGCCUGGCUUGAGUAUGGGAGAGGAUGAGGGAAUUCCUGGUGUAGCGGUGAAAUGCGUAGAUAUCAGGAGGAACACCUGUGGUGUAGACAGCUUACUGGACCACUUCUGACGCUGAGACACGAAAGCGUGGGUAGCAAACAGG
rnacentral:rRNA from 1 species